UACGAAGGGGGCGAGCGUUGUUCGGAUUUACUGGGCGUAAAGGGCGCGCAGGCGGCCGGCCAAGUCAGGCGUGAAAGCCCCGGGCUUAACCUGGGAAUUGCGUCUGGGACUGGUUGGCUAGAGAUCGGGAGAGGAGAGUGGAAUUCCCAGUGUAGAGGUGAAAUUCGUAGAUAUUAGGAAGAACACCAGUGGCGAAGGCGGCUCACUGGCCCGGUACUGACGCUGAGGCGCGAAAGCGUGGGGAGCAAACAGG
rnacentral:rRNA from 1 species